UGCAUGCAGCAUGCAUUCAUUACUGCAUCUGAUGGAAGCACAAAGGGAGAGACAAAGAUGCAGAGAACAAUGGAUAUCUGCCAGUGAAUGAGUCUGUUGAAAUCACCACACCAAAUUCAACAUUAAGGGCCAACCCUGACCACAGCUGAGUCGUGUGAAGAGGCUGACAGCAGAGUGGCCACCACCCAGGAUGGAGAGAAAGGCACCAUGAGGUGUUAAUGGAAAAAUCCAACUUCCUUUUCUGCCAAAGAUGAUGACUGAAACCAAAGUGGAGCUUUCCCUUGUAAAGUGAAAGCAAAGUUUUAAAAUUUUUUCUCUUCUGCAAGAAAAUAUAUUUCAGAAGAUCCCUAUCUCAAAAAUGA